AACUCAUAAUGGACUCCUGGAUUGGGCUGCUGGUAGAUCAUCUGAGAGAGACAUGAGACAGCAGAUCUUUUUGAGGUUUACCUGGAUCAUCCUAAACAUCUGUCCAUAUCCUCAAACAUACUGCAGCUAACAGUGACAUAAUAUUGAGUUGGGAUGGACGUGUUUGAGGCGUCACUCACAAACACGUCCAGGAUCUCGUUGGUGGGCCCCUCGGCCAGGAAGGACUCUCCUGCGGUGCUGCUGAUCUCAUUGGGCCGCCGGUAGUUCCUGCUCUUCACCAUCUCGGUGACGUUGAUCUUGGUGGCUCCCGCCGGGAUCUCCACAAUCUUGUGAUAGCCCACUUUGGACAGACUGUGCUGGAACAGGCCGGAGACGAGCUUACACGCACUGUUAUCCCC